rnacentral:rRNA from 1 species
UACGGGGGGGGCAAGCGUUGUUCGGAAUUACUGGGCGUAAAGGGCGCGUAGGCGGCCAGGUAGGUCUGCUGUGAAAACUCGAGGCUUAACCUCGAGAUGUCGGCGGAAACCAUCUGGCUAGAGUCCGGAAGAGGAGAAUGGAAUUCCCGGUGUAGCGGUGAAAUGCGCAGAUAUCGGGAAGAACACCCGUGGCGAAGGCGGUUCUCUGGGACGGUACUGACGCUGAGACGCGAAAGCGUGGGUAGCGAACAGG